CCUACGGGAGGCAGCAGUAGGGAAUCUUCCACAAUGGGCGAAAGCCUGAUGGAGCAACGCCGCGUGGGUGAAGAAGGUCUUCGGAUCGUAAAACCCUGUUUUUAGAGAAGAACGUGCGUGAGAGUAACUUUUCACGUUUCGACGGUAUCUAACCAGAAAGCCACGGCGAACUACGGACCAGCAGCCGCGGUAAUACGUAGGUGGCAAGCGUGAUCCGUAUUUAUUUGGCGUAAAGGGAACGCAGUCGGGUUGUUAAGUCUGAUGUGAAAGCCUUCGGCUUAACCGGAGUAGUGCAUUGGAAACUGGGAGACUUGAGUGCAGAAGAGGAGAGUGGAACUCCAGGUGUAGCAGUGAAAUGCGUAGAUAUAUGGAAGAACACCAGUGGCGAAAGCGGCUCUCUGGUCUGUAACUGACGCUGAGGUUCGAAAGCGUGGGUAGCAAACAGGAUUAGAUACCCGGGUAGUC
rnacentral:rRNA from 1 species